UAUGAAAGGUGUACACCGCCUAAAACGAGGUGCCACUAUUCAACUCCUUGUUGUUCUAAUCUAAUUUGCCGCCCAAUUCUAUUCAUUAGUAUCAGGAGUCACAUGUUUUGUGCAAAACCAGAAAGUAACUAACACUAAAAUAAAGAACAUAGAACACCUUUAUAGCCAGGCAUGUUAUUGUGUUUAUCGGACAUUAAAGAAAAAUAAUGUUCAAUUACCUA